GGACAGAGUUAGGGGAACUUCCGGCUUGCUUCUCAUGUGAAACGCGUUUCUCACCAUGUGUGGGAAAGCCAUCCGUGUUGAGGAAGAGGCUCUUGUUAUCUUUGGCUAGAGCGAGCUGCAGGGAACAAAAGAAGGACCUGUUAGGGAGGAGAGUAAAUAAGGACUUUUGGGGACCAGAUGUCCACCUAAUGUUUCUUCCUGUCCUGUGCAAGAUGGUAUAGGGUACUCCCUCUGUGAGAAUUCACUGGCAUGGGGCUGGGACAAAGGAUAACUUCAGUGACCACUGGAUACAGUCGCAAUGCUACAAAACAAAGCACAAUUACCCCAAAGCCAGCUGCCUCUGUGAAGUCAGUAUUAGCGGUCUCUGAUACGGGCACGUUUAAAUCAAGAACUAUUUAAUAAGCAACCAAGACAUUUUAUUUGUUAUAACUUAGCUCAACCAGGAAAAAAAAUGGAAAUGGAUGAACUAACAACUGAAACCUUUAGAGUGAACCUUAUCCGAUUACCAACCUGGGAUUUUGUCACUGGGAGAGAUGUGCUUGGACAAGAGCAGGAGUCUAGAAGAUUCUGAAGCUGGAAGAACCUGGUGAGGCUCCCUCCUGGGUAAGGGGCUCUGGUGGUGAGCAGCCUUAUUCUUCUCCCAAGAAAGGGCAGGCCCCCAGCUAACACAGUUUUGCCAUUGGGAGGCAAGCCAACUGCUAUUAAUGAGUAAGCAGAAAGCCCUCAUUCAGUCUACAUGAAAAAAAAGAGUGGGAUUUAGAAGAACUCUGACAUUAAUACUGUAUCCAAGAGGCAACAACUCUGGAGAAAACUUAGAAGCGACGGGUGAGGAGGGAAGACUGGCUCUCAGAUCUUUCAUCAAGAUGGAAUAUAGGUAAAGGAGUGAUGGAAGGCCUAGGAGGGGGAAAUCAGAAGAGCUGAGCAGAAAAGAAUGUGUGUCAGAGGUUAGAAAAUGAUGACUUGGGAGGAAUACGGGGCCUUGGGAAGGAGAGAAGCAAUCGAAAACCUCUCUGGGGAAUCACAAGCCUUUGGAGCAAGAGGUGCAACUGUGUGUAGGAUGGAGCUCUAAAGAGGGUGCCUAAUGUGCACACCAACGACCAAUCAACAAUAGUUUGCUGCUGUAAACCUGUAUCUAUCCAUGGAGAGGGUGAUUGGACUUUAAUAGCAGUCUGUCUGUGUGGACCUCGUUGUUCAAGGAAUCUUUAGUUGAAAGGCAUUUUCCAACCAAGUGGUCACUAUGACAUAUAUGUCAGCAUCUGUCAACUGCUAACCUCUGUGGUUUUAGAGAAGAGCACAGAUAAGUACCCAAGCUGUUCCUUUGAUCACACUGGAGUGGAUAUCCUGUAGCUGUCUUUCAAGUGACUCAUGGCCAAGUCAAUCAUCCAGUACUAGGCAGAAACCAUCAGGUCGAAGUCUCAUCAAAGGGAGAUCCAAGGUGGUGAGCCAGAAGUCACCACCAAAGCCACAGGAAAACCCUGGCACACAGGAAGUGUUGGAUGUAGUGUGGGAAUACAGAACGUACAUGGAAAAUUAAGAUAAAACACAGAACUGCAAAUAAAUGUAUGCUUUUAGUUGAUUGUCA
ensembl:lncRNA